rnacentral:misc_RNA from 1 species
UAUAGAGAAUACCGUUUCCACGAAAACGGUCAAAUCCAAAGCGACUGUCUGAACAUCUCUUUUUGAAAAUGGGUAUAAUUCUGCUGGGUCAGUAGUUCAGUUGGUUAGAAUGCCGCUCUGAUACAGCGGAGGUCGAAGAUUCGAGUUCUUCCUGACCCACCACUUAAAUUGAUGAGGUUGGAAUCAAAAACAAAUACUUGUUUUUGAUUCCAGAUGUUCUGAUGAAUAUCUUCGGAAUCUGCUUUUAUUAGCAAUCAUUGUAAAUCGGUUUUUAAUGUCGUAAAUCAAACUUUAUGGAAACAUGACUUUUGAUUUAUUGAACAUCGUAAUCUCAAAAAUCUUUCUAAAUAGAGUAAUCACGAAAGUGAUAAUUCAAUUAGAGAAGCAAGAAUCAACUUAAAUGCUUAAAAAACUCAUUAAGUUCUUUUGAUUGUGUUUGAAGACUUUCUCUUCAAGCAUAAGAUAAAAAGUAACAAAGGGUGUUUAGUGGAUGCCUUGGCAAUCAGAGGCGAUGAAGGACGUGAAAGACUGCGAUAAGUCCGGGUGAGGCGUCAAUAUCCUUUGACCCCGGA